rnacentral:rRNA from 1 species
AACGAACGCUGGCGGCAGGCUUAACACAUGCAAGUCGAGCGCCCCGCAAGGGGAGCGGCAGACGGGUGAGUAACGCGUGGGAAUCUACCCAUCUCUACGGAAUAACGCAUGGAAACGUGUGCUAAUACCGUAUACGUCCUUCGGGAGAAAGAUUUAUCGGAGAUGGAUGAGCCCGCGUUGGAUUAGCUAGUUGGUGGGGUAAAGGCCUAUCAAGGCGACGAUCCAUAGCUGGUCUGAGAGGAUGAUCAGCCACACUGGGACUGAGACACGGCCCAGACUCCUACGGGAGGCAGCAGUGGGGAAUAUUGGACAAUGGGCGCAAGCCUGAUCCAGCCAUGCCGCGUGAGUGAUGAAGGCCCUAGGGUUGUAAAGCUCUUUCACCGGUGAAGAUAAUGACGGUAACCGGAGUAGAAGCCCCGGCUAACUUCGUGCCAGCCGCCGCAGUAACAC